CCGGCUGUUCCAUAGGUAACCCUCCCAGGCCCCGGCUGUUCCAUAGAGAACCCUCCCAGGCCCCGGCUGUUCCAUAGGUAACCCUCCCAGGCCCCGGCUGUUCCAUAGGUAACCCUCCCAGGCCCCGGCUGUUCCAUAGGUAACCCUUCAGGCUCCAGCUGUUCCAUAGGUAACCCUUCAGGUUCCAGAGGCUCCAGCUGUUACACAGAAGGACUUCUGGAAGCUUCUGUGACUAUAGGGAAGCAAGCAGUGGGGGAGCACUCUUUCAGCAGAGAGGCUAAUUCAACCCCACCGUCCAUCCUGGAACAAAGCAUCCGUCUCAGGGUUAAGGCCCUCCCAGCAUUUCCCUCACAUAAGCAUGAGACUGACUUUACGUAUAACUAAGCACCUAGCACUAUGCCAGACACAACAGACAGAAGACACAAACCCUGGGCACUCGCCUGCCUUCAGGGAGGUGAAGGCGCUUUAGAGAAGACAGGCCCGGCGCAGGGGAGGAACCUCCCCAGGCAGCAUUCAAGAAAAUGCUAAAACAUAAAGUCAAUAAAACCUCAGAACAGUCGGGGCCCCUCACGAGAGCCGGGUGUUUCUGUGGGGCGCAGGCUGUGUCUGAUCUCCCCGCCGGCGGAACAUUUCAGAGCCAAGUGAGUUAGGAAGAAGCCAUGAUGUUCUUAUAUUUUUUAUUUGCUGGAAUAAAAUGAAAUCAACACACAGAAUUAAAAGAGGCCGGGGCAUUUUGAGGCCCUGAAGUCAGCAACGCUGGGGACAGGCACCUCCUCUCCUCUCCCGUCGCUAGACCCGUUCUCGGCCUCCUCCACCUGCUGCUGGAAUCCCUUUGGCUUUUUUGCUGACAGUCGGCAUGGCAGGCGGGCUGCUCUCUUGCCCAGGGUUAUACUCAAAUGUCAGUGCUUUUUACUCUUAAAAAUUAUUUUUAUCUUU